rnacentral:misc_RNA from 1 species
GAUGAAGAACGUAGCGAAAUGCGAUAAGUAAUGUGAAUUGCAGAAUUCAGUGAAUCAUCGAAUCUUUGAACGCACCUUGCACUCCUUGGUAUUCCGAGGAGUACGCCUGUUCGAGUGUUAUGAAGCUCUCAAAACGCAAUUGGCUUAAAACCUGAUUGUUGUUUUGGAUUUGAACUUUGCCGUGUUAUAACGGCUGGUUUUAAAAGUAUUAGCUGGUACUAGAACGAAUUGGUUCUACUCAACGUGAUAAUUAUCUGAUCGUUGAGGACAUUCCUUGCACGAGGAAUGGCCAUAGUAAAUUCAAUGGACUGCUUCUAAUCUGGCUUUAAUUCUUUAUUGGAUUAACCACUUUUCAAAUCUGACCUCGAAUCAGGUGGGACUACCCGCUGAACUUAAGCAUAUCAAUAAGCGGAGGA